UACAGAGACUGCAAGCGUUAUUCGGAUUCACUGGGCGUAAAGGGCGCGUAGGCGGCCUGUUAAGUCGGACGUGAAAUCCCUCGGCUCAACCGGGGAACUGCGUCCGAUACUGGCGGGCUUGAAUUCGGGAGAGGGAUGUGGAAUUCCAGGUGUAGCGGUGAAAUGCGUAGAUAUCUGGAGGAACACCGGUGGCGAAGGCGGCAUCCUGGACCGACAUUGACGCUGAGGCGCGAAAGCCAGGGGAGCAAACGGG
rnacentral:rRNA from 1 species